rnacentral:rRNA from 1 species
UCAAGUGAUUCUGCGCCGAAAAUGUAACGGGGCUAAGCCUGUCACCGAAGCUACGGCUUCUAGAAGUCGGAAAUCAGAAGUCAGCGAACCGGAAGGAGCAAGCCUGAUGAUUGCAAGUUAUAAGGACUUGGAAGUAUAUCAGGAUGGCUAUAGGUUAGCAGUCGAGAUGUAUCAAUUAGCAACAAAAUUCCCUGCAGAAGCUUUUGAAAUAGCAAAGCAGCUAAAACGAGCCACCCUGUCAAUACCUUUAAACAUAGCCGAAGGCUAUGGAAAAAAGGAUUCAACAGCGGAGUUUAAGCGAUUCCUAAGGAUGGCAACAGGUUCUGCAAAUGAGGUUGAAGUACUAAUUGAGAUGCUGAAAGACUUAGGGUACAUUGAUACGUAUGCGUACGAUAAGUACGUCAACGACUAUGUGAUACUAGGGAAACGGCUAAACGUAUUGCAUCAUAAGUGGCAAUAAAUCUGACAUCUGACAUCUGAUUUCUGACUUCUAGAGGGGUAGGGGAGCGUUCUGGACAGCGUAGAAGCUGUACUGAGAAGAGCAGUGGAGCGUCCAGAAGAGCGAAUGCCGGCAUGAGUAACGAAAAGGCAAGUGAGAAUCUUGCCCGCCGAAAGCCUAAGGUUUCCUGAGGAAGGCUCGUCCUCUCAGGGUUAGUCGGGCCCUAAGCCGAGGCAGAAAUGCGUAGGCGAUGGACAACGGGUUGAUAUUCCCGUACCACCUCACGUCCGUUACCAGCAAUGGGGUGACGCAGAAGGGUAGGCACAGCGCACCGUUGGUUGUGUGCGUUCAAGCGUUUAGGGAGUGCGGAUAGGCAAAUCCGUCCGCACAAUUCUGAGGCGUGAUGAGGAGCGAAAUUAUAGUAGCGAACUGGCUGAUCCCAUGCUGCCAAGAAAAGCCUCUAGCGAGGAUGUAGGUGCUCGUACCGCAAACCGACACAGGUAGGCGAGGAGAAAAUCCUAAGGCGCGCGGAAGAACCUUCGUUAAGGAACUCGGCAAAUUGACCCCGUAACUUCGGGAUAAGGGGUGCCCCGCCAGGGUGAGAUCUAACAAUCUUGCCUGAGGGGGCCGCAGAGAAUAGGCCCAAGCGACUGUUUAGCAAAAACACAGGUCUCUGCGAAGUCGCAAGACGACGUAUAGGGGCUGACGCCUGCCCGGUGCUGGAAGGUUAAGAGGAGAGGUUAGCAGGCUGGAGGUCAGAGUUCGGAAGUCGGACUCGAAGGAAUCGGCGAAAGAGCCGAUUCCAGCUAAAGAUCCGAUAUCGGAUUUCUGAUUUCUGACCUCUAGUUUGCGAAGCUUUGAAUUUAAGCCCCAGUAAACGGCGGCCGUAACUAUAACGGUCCUAAGGUAGCGAAAUUCCUUGUCGGGUAAGUUCCGACCCGCACGAAAGGCGUAACGACUUGGGCGCUGUCUCAACGAAGGAUCCGGUGAAAUUGUAGUACCUGUGAAGAUGCAGGUUACCCAUGACAAGACGGAAAGACCCCGUGGAGCUUUACUGUAGCCUGAUAUUGGAUUUUGGUAUGAAAUGUACAGGAUAGGUGGGAGACUGAGAAAUUUUGGCGCCAGCCAAGAUGGAGUCAACGGUGGGAUACCACCCUUUUCCUACUGGAGUUCUAACCGCGAGCCGUUAUCCGGUUCCGGGACAAUGUCAGGUGGGCAGUUUGACUGGGGCGGUCGCCUCCCAAAGAGUAACGGAGGCGCUCAAAGGUUCCCUCAGCGCGGUCGGGAAUCGCGCGUAGAGUGUAAAGGCAGAAGGGAGCUUCACUGCGACACCGACGGGUGGAGCAGGGACGAAAGUCGGACUUAGUGAUCCGGCGGUACUGCGUGGCAGGGCCGUCGCUCAACGGAUAAAAGCUACCCCGGGGAUAACAGGCUUAUCUCCCCCAAGAGUCCACAUCGACGGGGAGGUUUGGCACCUCGAUGUCGGCUCAUCGCAUCCUGGGGCUGAAUUAGGUCCCAAGGGUUUGGCUGUUCGCCAAUUAAAGCGGUACGUGAGCUGGGUUCAGAACGUCGUGAGACAGUUCGGUCCCUAUCUGUCAUGGGCGUAGGAGAAUUGAAGAGAGCUGUCCCUAGUACGAGAGGACCGGGAUGGACAGACCUCUGGUGUACCAGUUGUUCUGCCAAGGGCACUGCUGGGUAGCUAUGUCUGGACGGGAUAAGCGCUGAAAGCAUCUAAGCGCGAAGCCCCCUUUAAGAUAAGUUCUCCCGCUCGGAAAACGAGGUAAGACCCCAGAGAGAAGAUCUGGUUGAUAGGCCGGGUGUGUAAAGACAGCAAUGUCAAAGCUUACCGGUACUAAUAGGUCGAGGGCUUGACCUA